rnacentral:pre_miRNA from 1 species
UGGUGAUGAUGAUGAUGAUGAUUGUACAGAUGAUGAUGAUGAUGAUGAUGAUGAUGAUCGUCAUCAUCAUCACCACCAUCACCAUCAUCGUCAUGCUCA